rnacentral:rRNA from 1 species
UAAAGUGGCGCACGGGUGAGUAACACGUGGAUCAUCACCUUUUAGUGGGGAAUACCUCUGGAAACCGGAGACAAUACCGCAUAAGCCUGUAAAGGGAAAGCAGCAAUGCGCUGAAAGAGGAGUCCGCGGCCGAUUAGCUAGUUGGCGGGGUAAUGGCCCACCAAGGCGAAGAUCGGUAGCCGGCCUGAGAGGGCACACGGCCACACUGGCACUGAAACACGGGCCAG